GACGAACGCUGGCGGCGUGCUUAACACAUGCAAGUCGAACGGAAAGGCCCUGCUUGCAGGGUACUCGAGUGGCGAACGGGUGAGUAACACGUGGGUGAUCUGCCCUGCACUUCGGGAUAAGCCUGGGAAACUGGGUCUAAUACCGGAUAGGAGCCAUUUUUAGUGUGAUGGUUGGAAAGUUUUUUCGGUGUAGGAUGGGCUCGCGGCCUAUCAGCUUGUUGGUGGGGUAAUGGCCUACCAAGGCGGCGACGGGCAGCCGGCCUGAGAGGGUGGACGGCCACAUUGGGACUGAGAUACGGCCCAGACUCCUACGGGAGGCAGCAGUGGGGAAUAUUGCACAAUGGGCGCAAGCCUGAUGCAGCGACGCCGCGUGGGGGAUGACGGCCUUCGGGUUGUAAACUCCUUUCGCUAGGGACGAAGCUUUUUGUGACGGUACCUAGAUAAGAAGCACCGGCUAACUACGUG
rnacentral:rRNA from 1 species